UGUCAAUAUUUUGUUGGCAUACUUAUGUCCCCCUGUAUAUUAAUAUGCAAAAAGCUAAGCAGCAGUGGGCCUGAUUAGUACUCGGAUGUGAGAGCACCAGGGUAUAUCAGGAAUUUUCACAU
rnacentral:rRNA from 11 species